CUUUUUGGCUGCAAAAAGCGAAUUGUUAUUUCACUAUUUCACUUUUAUUAUUGAUUGAACAGAAAAAAAUCAAACUUAAUAUUUUUGAUGUACCUCGUAGCUAGUGCCCCUUUAAAAUAUCAUUUUCGUACUUGGUUAUAAAUGCAUAUCAGCAACGUUUUAUUUGUCCAACUAUUGAUAACAAAACGCCGACUAGAAAAACAAACAAAUGAUGAUGAGAGGACUGAAACUGAUAUUGUGUACAUAAUUGCGUGUGGGGAUGUCAUUGUUUAAACUUUUUGCUGUGAUAAAUGGACUAUUAAGACGACAUGAUAGUAAAUGAAAUUGACAAAUUUUCCUAUUUACUGCUGUCAAUUUUCGUAGAUGUUUGACGUCUAUUGGAAAAUAACAAGUGAAAGUAAAUCUUAAAGUUUGUUUAUGCCUUCGCCACUUAGACCCGUUUACACCCACCAGUAAAAGAAUAGAUUAUGAAUAAAGAUCAAUACUUAUUCCAAUGGAAUCCAGAGAAAUCGAUCUCAAAUCAGACGGGGAAAAUUUACCUCCAAAGUUUUUAAAAAUAUUGAUCUUUCUUCGCGUGUAAACGAUCGAUCCUCCGCAAAGUGAAAGUGUUAUAAUACAUCUGUGUAUGUUCGUCUGUAACAAAAACACACGUAUUCAAAACAAGGGAUCGGUAAAGAGAAAUAUUGUUGAGUCUUGACACAACUGUCCAUGUCAUUAAUAAUAAUUGAAUACGUCAGACGCGCGUUUCGUCUAAAAUAAGACUCAUCAGUGACGCUCAGAUCAAAACAGUAAGAAAGCCAAACAAGUACAAAGUUGACGAGCAUCGUUAUCUGUGCCUUGGAUAACAAAAAUCCUUAAUAUUCGGAAUAAAUAAACUCAUCAUAGGAUACAAGGAAUAAAUUUUAUGUAUACGCCAGACGCGCGUUUCGUCUACAAAAG
rnacentral:lncRNA from 1 species